rnacentral:rRNA from 1 species
UUUAACUGAAGAGUUUGAUCAUGGCUCAGAUUGAACGCUGGCGGCAGGCUUAACACAUGCAAGUCGAGCGGAGAGAGGUAGCUUGCUACCGAUCUUAGCGGCGGACGGGUGAGUAAUGCUUAGGAAUCUGCCUAUUAGUGGGGGACAACAUUUCGAAAGGAAUGCUAAUACC